AUAAAUAUAAAUGCAAUUCCAUUGAAACCCAACAGAGGCUUUUCACUUGACAAGAUGAUCCUGUGAUCCACACAGGUAUAAAGAACCCAAAUGGCCAAGACAGCAUGGAAGAAGAAAAGCUGCGAUAUUUGGCUGAGAGUCGUUAUCAAGCCUUAUUCAAAAGCUGCAGAGUUGACUUAUUUGUCACUGGAGGAUGAAGAAAUAAACUGUGAAAGAGAAUAGCUGUGUCCCCAGGAGGAGACCUCACGUACGUGAUGCCCAGGUAGCUGGAGCCAGCACAGGCCAGUGGGAAAGAGCAGAUCCAUCCACAGCGGUGAGGAGAUGGUCAUGGAGGUCAUGGAGGACAGACACCCGGAAUCACGGAAAGAGCAGAUCCAUCCACAGCGGUGAGGAGAUGGUCAUGGAGGACAGGCACCCAGAAUCAGGGAAAGAAUGGUCAUGGAGGUCAUGGAGGACAGGCACCCAGAAUCAGGGAAAGAGCAGAUCCAUCCACAGUGGUGAGAAGAUGCUCAUGGAGGACAGGCACCCAGAAUCAGGGAAAGAGUGGAUCCAUCCACAGCGGUGAGGAGAUGGUCAUGGAGGACAAGCACCCGGAAUCAGCAGCAGAGCUCUCCUCCUACACAAGGGCAAGUAUCACGGGCACCUCCAGGCAAAAGGCAAAGAUGCUAAACUGCUAAUAACAAUAAGGAAUAGCUGUAUAAUAGCAGACUGCAUAGGAGCUCUACAAAUACAACUUUUUAAAACCCACAAAUCAUAAAUGAAAAGAUCCCUAAAUAUGAUGACAUUGACCCAAAACCCUGCACUCAGCCAAAACACCAUCAACAAAUUUAUAGACAAGCCUCAGCUGGGGAAGUGAUACUCGCAAAACCUGUAACUUACCACUCACCAAAAACUAGUGUCCACAUUUAAGGACUCCUACACAUCAAUGAAAACAAUGAGAAAAUGGGGGAAAAGGGUAUGUAGAGGUUAAUUCACAAAGGAAACUAGAAGGCCAAGAAAAAUAUGAAAAUUGUUCAACCUCAUUAUAAACUGAGAAAUGCACAUAAUGAACCCUAAUUAAACACCAUUUUAUAUCUGUUUGAUUUGGCACCAUUACAAAGGCCUGACAAUACCAUGUUUUGGAAGUGAGAAAGUUGGAAGUCUUGGGCAUGGCAGGUGGGAGUGUGGUCAGAAGAACAAUGGUCCCCCAGAGAUGUCCGCGUCCUAAUCCCCAGAACUUGUGAAUAUGUCAGUUGAUGUGGCACAGGGGGAUGAAGUUUGCCAAGGGAAUUAGGUGGCUAUCAACUGACCCGAGAGGGGAAACUAUCCCCAAUUGUCCGGGUGGACCCAGUGUGAUAAUCACAGGGGUCCUCAUGAGAGGAAGAGGGAAGCAUAAGGGAGAAAAUAGGAGAGGCACAGCUUGAGAAGGACUCACAGAUGUUCCCAGCUUUCACAGUGGAAGAGGAGGCCCAGAGCCACUGGCUUCUAGAAGCUGCAAAAGGCAAAGAAACAGCUUCUUCCCUAGAACCUCCGGGAGUCAGCCCUGCCAACACCUGGAACUCAGCCCAGGGAGAAUGAUUGUGGACCUCCGCCCUCCAGAAUGGUAGGAGGAUAAAUUUGCUGUGUUUUAAGCCCCCAAGUCUGUGGUAGUUUGUGACAGAUGAAACACAUACAGCUACCUGGGAGAGACAUGGGGUAUCUAUACAGAGAGAGUCUUGCUUGCGUGGACAGAAAGACAGAGAGAUGGAUGUUUGCUGCAGCGUUGCUUGAAACGGCAACGUAAGAGUCCAUCAUUAGAGGAAUGGACGGAUGAACUUUGGCCUGGUCAGUGGGGCAAUGGCCCAGUCAAGGGCAGCACGGGGCAGACACGGGCGUGUGGAGGUGUCGGCGCAGCCCGGGUGGGUCCGUGUCCCAGCCCCUGGUGAGGAGUGAUUACUCCUCACACGUCUGUAGGAGAACUUGUGUGAGUGAAUGGCACCAAGUCUGGCUUAUCAAAGAGCUCAGUAAAUAUUCUCCUGGUAAUUGUCACAUAUCCUGAUGUAAUAUUGAGUGAACACACACAUUGGAAAAAUGAUGACAUUUAUUCAAAGCAUGAAAAUGUAAAAGGAUGCUUGGCGGUGUUUCAGGUACACGCAUGUACCUAUAAGUAUAGGAAAAAAUAGGUAAAUAUAGGCAAACUUAGCAGACAUCCGUCCUGACUUCAGAGCUGUGGCUAACUCUGUGAUGGAGGGAGAGGCUUUAGAUACAGUUUUUACACAUUACUUAUUGUUUGAAAAUUAACUAUUUGAAGGAAAUGGAGCAGCAUUCUAACUUGCCCCAGAUCCAUUUGGCGAGGGCAUGAGGAAUGGGUAUGUGGUACUUGCAUUUGUUUUUUGUUUUAAAUACUUCAAAAUUUUAAAUAUGUUUUUGAAUAAGAAAAAGGCAAUGAACCAAUAGAAACAGAGAGGCCAAGUACACACCUUUGGGAUCCAACUGUAUUUAGUGGUGGUAUAUCAUCCUCUCCUGCCACCCUGUUAUGCUUUAUUUUAACAGCCAAGAAAGAUGCUAAGUGUCAUGCUAACGCCAAAAUUCAGCUGGGAGGUUAGCAUCUUCCCUAAUGUAAGAUAAUUCCAUCCAUUCCUUCACGUACCUUCAUGUACAUGCAAUGACCUAGCGUAGCUACUGUGGAGAUUACACGUGAAUACAUACAUAAGCUGUGAUCUGUUCAAAGAGGCUUCUGCUCUAGUUGUGAGCUGGGACCUUGGGCAACAGAUUGGUUUUGGAAAUAAGAAGCCUGAGGUUAAUUUCAGACACCUCCACGUGCUGGCUGGGUGGGUGCCCUGAGCAAGCCAACUAUUCAUUUCGGCUUUGGUUCUUUUAGCUUUAAAAUAUAGUGUAGAUAUAAAAUACCCACAAUAUCUACCUCACAGGAUUGUCAUGGGCACCAGAAGAAGAUUUUUGUGGAAGUACUUUGUAAAUACUAAUUAUUAAUCAUAUAUACUCGUUAAAAAUAAAUAGUAGAUAGUAAAUGUCAGCCACUCACAACUAUGCUAUAAAUCUCAGAGUUAGUGAACAUGUCCCUUAACCCAAAUAGUUAACAUUUUCUCAACUACAAGUCCCUGAGAGUCCUUUAAUAAAUUACUAUUUUCCCUAAAUUAUAUGUGGAAAAUUAUAUGUAAAAUAAUCUUCCUAUUAAAUAGGGUAUCAUAUUAUCUCAUCUUCCUCAACCAAUCCAGUAGCUGGUGCAGGUCUCCCCAGCUUAGGCAUAAUUUGUUUCAGUUGUACCAAUACAUGAAGAAGUUAAAUUCCUUCCACAUGCUUGGUGUCAGCUCUUCUAAGCACCUGUGCUUCUGUGAUCUUUCUGAGAUGAACAUACGUGAGUUCUGUGCUCACAGCUGCAAAUAAAGACAAACUCUGAGGAUCUGCCUGACUCUGGGUUCCAUAACCUCCACUGUUUCUAACAGUUUGAAAUUUGGUUAAAUAAAAAGGAUAUUUGACAGUGAAUAAAUGAAUAUAAAUAAAAUUUAAAUGGUAUUCUACUCCAGGCACUGUUCUUGUCAUUGCUUGAAUUUUGUGACUCUGAGUGAGGUGAAAUGCCUUCCAAGGAGUCACAGAUCCCAGCCACAGCUGGACAAAACAAGGCAGGUUUAGAGCCAGCAGACACACAGGCCGCUCAUGCAAAACACGGAUUUGCUUUCAGCGAACUCAGCGAACCGAGUCCCCACGUGCCAACUCCUGGGCACUGCCCAGCUUCUCCAGCAUGUCACCAUGUGCUCCGGGGCCACCGCGUCCCUGAAGGCUCCAUCGUCGGACGGUUCUACAAUAGCUUCUUUCUGUACCCAACACAAACCCGUCAUUGCAGGAAGUCCCUAGAGCACCAGCCCACCUCAAGGAUGGACAGCGGAGGCCAGGUAAGAAAGCCGAAAAUCAACAAGGAACGCUGGGCUCCAUGAAGGAGGGGCCAUGUGGCUGUUUCUACAGGGACCCUCAGGGUCACACAGAGACUUGUUCCAGGGCCAGGGGACACCAUGCACUUUGGCUGCAGGACCCGGUGGGCUGGAAGAGUGUCUUCCGGGCAGACUUCAGAGACCCCCCGUAAGGAGUGUUGUCCUAAGGCCAAUGCGCUGGAGGCACCGAGGGCGUUCAAAGACUGCAGAGGCUCUAUUGCCUUUUCCUGAACGAUGGCCAGUGCAGCCCUCACACAAAGGGGUCCCCCUCACUGCUGCUGCAGACCAGCAC
rnacentral:lncRNA from 10 species